GGGGGUGUAUAUAGAACUACCCAUCAAAUUCCAACGUGAACCAAGUCGAUGUGCUGUAUCUAAUAAAACCAUGGCUUUGGGGCAGUUGUUUUUAAAAAUAAAUAAAUAAAAAUAAGUGUUGCUUUGCUUCAAAUAUGUGUUACUUUAAAUGAAUAAUUCUUUAAUCGUAUCUAUGACAUGAACCAACCAUUUUUUUAAAGAAAAAAAAAGAAGUAUUUCUCUAUUACCACGUAGCCAACGUGGACUUCAAUUGAAUCACUAGGAAUUUUUUCUAAAUAAUCCUGCAAGUCGGAGAAGUCUAUCGGAAAGCCUGAAAGCCACGAGUUCCGGUCUAAGUUACCCCAAGGAAUUGAAAGCAGGCUACAAUAAAUGGACCUUUUGAUGAAUGAGUCCUUAACAUGCUAUUAAUUUGGUUAACCAGGCGAGUUUCGCACGAAGUAUGGGAAGGCAAGAUGAGGAAUUCAUAGGCUUUUUCUGGAGCGAUGUGAACCAACCGGUGAUCUUCUCGUCAAACAACUCCAUUGCAACGGAGAUCUUUUUCUCACAGUGCAAUUGUUGCGGGAACAAUUAGAAUGA
rnacentral:lncRNA from 1 species